GUUUUCUUGCACUAUUGUCAAAGGAAUUGAGAAGGUAUUAGAAGCACUCCAAUCCAAAACAUAAAGUUGCACUCUCAGAUUGCACAAUUGACAUCAAUGGCUAGAGGUAUAUUUUUGGUUCAUUUAAUUUCCACAGUUGAUCUAUGUGCUAUUUAAAGUUUAUAUGGCAUGAUUAGAUCGUAAGUAUAUAGUCUAACAGUUAGUAUCAAAGCAUCACUUUACCUCUGCCUUGUUUGUUUUGUUCUCUGCAAUUUUUUCCAGAAAUUUACUGUAAUUUCUUAGGGAUUUCAAAUUCUUAUUUCAUAGCUUUUGAUGAAAAAUAAGGUUAGGAAUCAUUAAGAAAUUGGAUUUCUAGACAAUCUUUUCAAACCUGCAGUUGGCUUUUCUUUAUUACCAUUGCAGAGAGAUGGGCUAAAUUGUGUAACUGUUGACAUGCAGUGGGCUUUCAAUCCUUGUCAUUUGCUAAUUGAAGUACAAGAAUGAAUUUUGUUUUGACCAUCAGUUUCCAGCAUAUGGGCCCACCUGCAUGAGAAAAAGGCCACUGAUGUACUACAAUUCUAAUAAAGUAAUGGUUUGGCAAAGACAAAAUCUACUCUACCAAUUUAUUACUGCAUGUGUAUAAGUUACAAAUU
rnacentral:lncRNA from 1 species